rnacentral:rRNA from 1 species
GUUCAGCUUCUAAUCGUCUCCGGACAAUUUUUUGAACGCU